rnacentral:rRNA from 1 species
AUUGAACGCUGGCGGCAGGCCUAACACAUGCAAGUCGAGCGGAGCGGCGGACGGGUGAGUAAUGCCUAGGAAUCUGCCUGGUAGUGGGGGAUACCGUCCGGAAACGGGCGAUAUUACAGCAUACUAUCAGAUGAGCCUAGGGCGGAGUAGAUAGUUGGGGGGGUAAAGGCCUACCAAGGCGACGAUCCGUAACUGGGCUGAGAGGAUGAUCAGUCACACUGGCACUGAGACACGGUCCAGACUCCUACGGGAGUCAGCAGUGGGGAAUAUUGGACAAUGGGCGAAAGCCGGAUCCAGCCAUGCCGCGUGUGUGAAGAAGGUCUUCGGAUUGUAAAGCUCUUUAGUUUGGGAGGCGUUACCAACAGAAUAAGCACCGGCUAACUUCGUGCCAGCAGCCGCGGUAAUUC